UUUGGGUGCGGUUAACAGGCAAAUGCCCAACCCCGUCAGGUCCGGAAGGAAGCAGCGGUAAGCACGAUGCUUGUGUAAUCGUCACCCUUUUUU
rnacentral:SRP_RNA from 1 species